rnacentral:rRNA from 1 species
GAUGAACGCUGGCGGCGUGCCUAAUACAUGCAAGUAGAACGCUGAAGGAAGGAGCUUGCUCUUUCCGGAUGAGUUGCGAACGGGUGAGUAAUGCGUAGGUAACCUGCCUGGUAGCGGGGGAUAACUAUUGGAAACGAUAGCUAAUACCGCAUAACAGUAGAUGUUGCAUGAUACCUACUUAAAAGGUGCAUUUGCACCACUACCAGCUGGACCUGCGUUGGAUUAGCUAGUUGGUGAGGUAACGGCUCACCAAGGCGAAGAUACAUAGCCGACUUGGAAGGGUGAUCGGCCAACCUUGGACUGAGACACGGCCCAGACUCCUACGGGAGGGAGCAGGAGGGGAUCUUCGGCAAUGGACGGAAGGCUGACCGAACAACGCCGCGGGGGGGAAGAAGGUUUUCGGAUCGUAAAGCUCUGUUGUAAGGGAAGAACGGGUGUUAGAGUAGAAAGUUCACACUGUGACGUUAUCUAAAGAGAAAGGGACGGCUAACUACGUG